rnacentral:tRNA from 5 species
GCGCCCGUAGCUCAACGGAUAGAGCAUCUGACUACGGAUCAGAAGGUUCGGGGUUCGAAUCCCUGCGGGCGCA